UAUGUGGCAUGAUGACAUGGCGGGUCAUCACAUUAAGAUAUGUUAAACUAGAUAGCUUUGUACUUGUGCGCAGCCUGCAAAUCCUUGUACCAAAUUUUUUCCUUUGAAUUCAAGUGGGUUUUGUGAUGUCCACAUAAGGCGGUCAAUGCUCAUUGCUUAAGAGUUAGAAACAUAUAUGGCAUCCAGGGAUGUGACCUAGUGGUCAAUGAAGUGGUGAGAACCAUAAGGUCUCAGGUUCAAAUCCCAGCGGAGGAAAAAAAACACUAGGAGAUUUUUUUCCAUCUAUCCAAGCUUGGGUGGAUAGAGUUACCUGAUACCUGUUGCUGGUUGGAGAUGGCAGGUAUGAUGUGGAAUUAUUGCGCGCAAGCUGGCCCGGACACUACGGUUAUUAAAAAAAGAGUUAGAAACAUAUGUGUACUGUAGUCAAUUAUCUGGCUCUUAUCCUUCUUGGAGCUUGGUUCUUUUUAUUUUUAGAUAUCCAUCUACCAAAAAUACCAGAAUAUUUUCCACUCUUGUUACUGAAUUAUUAUGCACUUGUGCUAACUUUCGGUUCGUAGUAUCUAACUGUUUAUGAAAUUUAACAGGUGGACAUUUUCUCCUCUAUCUAAAGAAAAGUUGCUUGAUACAUUGAAGGUGGCGAUUAGCACUUACAUAGAACAUAAGUCAUCUUGGGAGGGGUUGAUGAAGAGAGGAAUGGAAAGGGACUAUUCCUGGGAAAAUGCGGCCAUUCAAUACGAGCAAGUAUUUGAAUGGGCAUUUAUAGAUCCUCCAUAUGUCAGAUGAUUUAUCAAGAAAGAAUAUAUUAUUGAACAGAAGGGAAAAAGAUACCAGAAUACACUCAGCUUUUGGGGAUAUUAGCUGUGGCUUAUGUUAGUGUGUAAUGUUCACUUAUCAUUUUUUAUUUUUGCUGAGAAACCAAGUUAGUUCUAAAGACAUAUAGAUGAUCUGUGAGGGAGAGAAAAUGACAGAAACCAAGCACUGCCACUUUGGGAGAAUAGUGGAGACAUGUACAAAGAAUUUUGAAUUUAAGUUAAGGUCUAUUAUGAUUAUAUCCUCUUUUGCGUGUGAGGAGAGGCCAAUUGAUUAAUAUUGGUUCUCAUUUUUUUAAUA